UACAGGGGGUGCAAACGUUGCUCGGAAUUAUUGGGCGUAAAGCGCGCGUAGGCGGUGACUCAAGUCGGAUGUGAAGCCCUUGGCUUAACCGAGGAAGUGCAUCCGAAACUGAGUCGCUAGAGUACGAUAGAGGGUCGCGGAAUUCCCGGUGUAGAGGUGAAAUUCGUAGAUAUCCGGAGGAACACCGGUGGCGAAGGCGGCUUCCUGGACCGACACUGACGCUGAGGCGCGAAAGCUAGGGAGCAA
rnacentral:rRNA from 1 species